rnacentral:rRNA from 1 species
UACAGAGGCCUCGAGCGUUAGGCGGAAUCACUGGGCUUAAAGCGUGUGUAGGCGGAUCGGUAAGUACCUUGUGAAAUCCCACGGCUUAACUGUGGAACUGCUUGGUAUACUGCCGGUCUUGAGCCAGCUAGGGGCUACCGGAACAAAUGGUGGAGCGGUGAAAUGCGUAGAUAUCAUUUGGAACGCCAAAGGUGAAAACAGGUAGCUGGGGCUGUGCUGACGCUGAGACACGAAAGCCAGGGGAGCAAACGGG